rnacentral:rRNA from 1 species
UAAGGAAUAUUGGUCAAUGGAGGCAACUCUGAACCAGCCAUGCCGCGUGCAGGAAGAAGGCCCUAUGGGUCGUAAACUGCUUUUGAACAAGAGAAAACCCCGGUACGUGUACUGGGUUGAUAGUAUUGUUAGAAUAAGCAUCGGCUAACUUCGUGCCAGCAGCCGCGGUAAGACGAAGGAUGCAAGCGUUAUCCGGAUUCAUUGGGUUUAAAGGGUGCGUAGGCGGACUGAUAAGUCAGUGGUGAAAUCUCUCGGCUUAACCGAGAAACUGCCAUUGAUACUGUUAGUCUAGAGUACAGAUGAUGUGGGCGGAAUAUGACAUGUAGUGGUGAAAUACUUAGAUAUGUCAUAGAACACCGAUUGCGAAGGCAGCUCACAAAACUGUAACUGACGCUGAGGCACGAAAGUGCGGGGAUCAAACAGGAUUAGAUACCCGUGUAGUCCCUGAGCGGGCUGGCAAGGCGCAU